CCUACGGGGGGCAGCAGUAGGGAAUUUUCGUCAAUGGGCGCAAGCCUGAACGAGCAAUGCCGCGUGAACGAGGAAGGUCUUCGGAUCGUAAAGUUCUGUUGAAGGGGAAAAAGGGAACGGAUAGGAAAUGAUCUGUUGGUGAUAUUACCCUUCGAGGAAGUCACGGCUAACUACGUGCCAGCAGCCGCGGUAAUACGUAGGUGGCGAGCGUUAUCCGGAAUGAUUGGGCGUAAAGGGUGCGUAGGCGGUCGAUUAAGUCUGGAGUGAAAGGUACCGGCUCAACCGGUAUAGGCUCUGGAAACUGA
rnacentral:rRNA from 1 species